ensembl:lncRNA
AUGUCGCUUAGAUACUGGCUGAGAUUUCCCAGGUGGACCAUGUUAUUUUUCUUUCUGCGGCUACGGAGAGCUGCUGACUCACUCGGUGUCCUCUCUCCCAGCCGUACGGGGACGGGGGAGGAAGCGUUGCGAGAAGGAGGCCCGCCACAGGAAGAGGACAUGGAUGACGGACUCUGGGCGGGCCCCUUCGGGCCUGUUCGCAGCGUCGUCACAGAGAAUGAGGGGAAGCUGAUGAGGCAGCACAAUGGCCAGGAGGGCGGCGCCAGAAGGCAGGGGACCCCCGGGGAGGGGGACGGCGAGUCGGUGUUCAGCACAUACGGCGAAACGCUCCUUCAGCAGUGCCAGCGAGAACGGGUGGAGCACAUGGGGAGCCCAGAGAGCCCUGAAUCAGCCUCUCGCGUCAGAAAGAAGAAGAAGGUAUUUUGCCUGAAGAGGAAUAACCGAGUGGACCCCCUGAGACCCGACGUGGGGGGAGCGGACAGUCCCAACCUGCACCCAGUUUCAUGGGCUGUUCCUGCAUUCGACAGACUUCCAGAGCACGGCUUCAUGCGGAUGUACAGGACCUUCUGAUUUCCUCCAUCUCCUCACCUUUGGGCAGAGACAUGAUGGUGUCACUUGUGGUGUGUCUGAGGUUGGCACCCAAUUCCUGAAGUUCACGCUCUUCACUGCUCUUUUCCCGUAACUUUUUUUUUUCCCGUGAGUGGUGUAAACUGGUGUGAUUAACGCUGUGGCUACACCUACAGUUUAAUUGUAGGUGGGUUUUAAAGAAGAACCCAGAUGAAUCAAACCUCUACUGUUAUACAUGGUUUUCUGGUAAACUUUGACAACACAAACUAAAACAAUUUCUUACAAGUUCUUUGAUUGAAGUGAGAACCUUAAACUCAUGUCUACUUCAUAGAAUUGUAAUGUGUAACUUUUGUCUUCAUCUCUUCAUAAAGACAGGUAUGAAAGUAAUGUUAUGCCCUUUAAGAGAAUUGAAUACAUGGGCAAAAGGGAAUGUACUGUAGGAAGUGCAUUUAUGGAUUAUGUCAAAUCUGUGAAUGAGUCAGCUGUAUAUAACUCAGUUAUUUCAGUAUUCUUCUAGAAAAAGAAGCUAUUUAUUAUGGAUUAAUAUAUUGUUGAUCUGAAAGAAGCUGCCUGCUGCUACAGCAGCACACAUACUGUAUGGUGGAGGAGUGACACAUGAAUAACAGAGUAAUUAAAUUACUUCAAACAGGUACAAAACUAACAACUUAAAUAUGGGUGACACAGGAAGUAGGUGCUGCUGUCACACAGCACCUGGGUGGUGGUGCGAGAGAAUGUGGGUUUGAUUCCUGCUCAGUCUGUGUGGAGUUUGCAUGUUCUCCCCAUGUCUGUGUGGGGUUUCCUUCGGGUGCUCUGGUUUCCUCCCACAGUCCAAAGACAUGCUGUUCAGGUUUGGCGUGCGUGUGCGAGAGAUCGAGAGAGUGUGUUCCACGGAUGUAUGCGUGACCCAGUGUAAGUAGCGUAUCUAGCAAUGUAAGUUACCUUGGUGAAUAAGGUGUGUUUGUGUGUGGGCUCAUAACACUACAGAGUCAGUGGAAGUUGCUGUGGAGAAAAGUGUGCUAGAUAAAUGUAAAUAGUGUUAAUAAUAUUUUUUUAAAUUUCACAAUUUUUAAUUGUAUAACCAGAAAUUCUAUUUACAGAUCUAUGAAUCAUAAUCAAAGAGUAAAGAUUAUAAUUAAAAUGCAGGAAAAGGAAACCAUACUGCAUUAUAGUAUUUUACUUCCUAAGUAAAUUAGGAAGACUUAAGUGUUAAGCCAGGUGUAGUUGUCAUGGGUGUCAGAGCCAUGGUCUUGUGGGGGAGUUUGGUGUGACUUAAGAUCCUGCUGCGGGAUUUUUGCAUUUAAUGUUUUAUUUUAAUCUCUAGGAAGCUGAUACUUACACAAAUGAGUCAGCAGCGUAAAGGGGUGUAAAAGUGUUGACUAAGCAGUUGGUGCACCGGAGAUGAGAACAAAGCAAACGUGUCGCAGUCGGGGCACUGCGUUUUUAUGACUCCGACUGUAUUUAGGGAACUAUGACUGAGCAGUUCACCGUCAUCUGUAGGGAAAAAAUGUUUGAGGAACAAACUCCUUGACUACUUAAAUAUAGGCUUUUUUUUGGGGGGACUAAAACCACUAUGAUUAGAGCCUCUGAAUGGACUGCUGCAUGUGAGGAUGACGCAGGUCGUACCGUUUGAACGUUUUUCCUUUGCUGGAGGGGGUGAGACAGACCCAGCCGACCCUCUGAUGCCAGCAGACUCUUCCUUCCUCCUCCAGCUGUCCAGCCGUGGGAUUUUGAUUUUCUGCAGUUUAAGCUGCACGCUUUCCCUCGCUGACUUACUCCCCCCCCCAGUGCAAUGGAAACCAAAAUGCGUUUGCAUUAUCAAAAAACACUUCUCCCGUGGAGGGUUGUGGUGAUCCAGAGCCAAUCUUGGAUGCAUUGCGCUCUUAUUGUGCAUACACACAGUAAGGGAAGUUUAGUCACCAGUUCACCUGAACUCUUUGGAUGGGGGGGGGGAAACCAGAGCAGCCAGAGGAAGCUUGCAGGAACCCAGGGAGAAUAAUAUAAGCUCCACCCUAACUAAGCUGGAUUUAAACAAGUAGCACAUGGCCCAUGUUUUCUCUCAACAGCCAGGUGCUUUGAGACAGCAGCCCUAUUCACUGUGCUACCUUACAGUUGUCUAAGAGGAAUCCUUAGGUUCCACUGCACUCUUGAAGGGAUCUUCUGCUCUACAGCAUACGAAUAGAACCUGCUAGCAUGUUAAUCAUUUUUAUUUUAUAAAAUGUCUGCUAAAUAAAUGUAAAUAUAAACCCA